rnacentral:tRNA from 1 species
ACCAGCCUAGCUCAGUUGGAAGAGCAUGUGACUCUUGAUCUCAGGGUCAUGGGUGUGAGCCCCAUGUUGGGUG